rnacentral:rRNA from 1 species
GACGAACGCUGGCGGCGUGCUUAACACAUGCAAGUCGAACGGAAAGGCCCUGCUUUUGUGGGGUGCUCGAGUGGCGAACGGGUGAGUAACACGUGAGUAACCUGCCCUUGACUUUGGGAUAACUUCAGGAAACUGGGGCUAAUACCGGAUAGGAGCUCCUGCUGCAUGGUGGGGGUUGGAAAGUUUCGGCGGUUGGGGAUGGACUCGCGGCUUAUCAGCUUGUUGGUGGGGUAGUGGCUUACCAAGGCUUUGACGGGUAGCCGGCCUGAGAGGGUGACCGGCCACAUGGGGACUGAGAUACGGCCCAGACUCCUACGGGAGGCAGCAGUGGGGAAUAUUCACAAUGGGCGGAAGCCUGAUGCAGCAACGCCGCGUGCGGGAUGACGGCCUUCGGGUUGUAAACCGCUUUCGCCUGUGACGAAGCGUGAGUGACGGUAAUGGGUAAAGAAGCACCGGCUAACUACGUG